GACGAACGCUGGCGGCGUGCUUAACACAUGCAAGUCGAACGGAAAGGCCCUGCUUUUGUGGGGUGCUCGAGUGGCGAACGGGUGAGUAACACGUGAGUAACCUGCCCUUGACUUUGGGAUAACUUCAGGAAACUGGGGCUAAUACCGGAUAGGAGCUCCUGCUGCAUGGUGGGGGUUGGAAAGUUUCGGCGGUUGGGGAUGGACUCGCGGCUUAUCAGCUUGUUGGUGGGGUAGUGGCUUACCAAGGCUUUGACGGGUAGCCGGCCUGAGAGGGUGCCCGGCCACAUUGGGACUGAGAUGCGGCCCAGACUCCUACGGGAGGCAGCAGUGGGGAAUAUUGCACAAUGGGCGGAAGCCUGAUGCAGCAACGCCGCGUGCGGGAUGACGGCCUUCGGGUUGUAAACCGCUUUCGCCUGUGACGAAGCGUGAGUGACGGUAAUGGGUAAAGAAGCACCGGCUAACUACGUG
rnacentral:rRNA from 1 species